UUGUACGGCAGUCUUUCGAAUGGACGUCCGAAAUCACGAUUAUAAUAAGUACCUAGAUUAUCGUUUACCUGUUGGCGUUCAAGGAUCCGCGAGCCAAUAUGUUACACGGGCACGCGUUGCGUUAUUUAUUACGGCCGAAGACAAAAUAUUCAAAUGUCGCAACAGCCAUUACAGCGUUACAAUAACGCUCGCAAUGCGUUUUAAAAAACGCGGUUUGCGGAUAGACGGUAACAACGAAUUCUCGCCGC